GGAGAUUGCAUCAAACAGAGAGCCUGUUGAAAUGCCAGAAGCAGGUGAAGGGCAACCAUUUCCUUGAAAGAAGAUAAACUGAAAUGAUCCAUGCUGUUCUUACGUUGUAUAUUUGACUGUUAAAGUUCUGUCAAUAAAGUUUCGUUUUCUCCUGGCA